rnacentral:tRNA from 1 species
GAGUUAAUUUUUUUUUAAGUUUUGAAAACUUUUAUUAGGUUUUUGCCUUUAACUUU